AAAACUUUUAACUAAAAUUAAGUUAACUUAAGUGAAAUUAGAGUUUUUUUUUUAUUAUUUUCCCUACUUUUCUCUUUUCUCUUUCUUGUGUUUUUUUAGCUGCCACAUUCCUCAGCCCCGUUGUCCUUCACACUGCCGCCAACACCCCUUGCCAGCCCAGCUUGGUGUGGUGUGACGCCCAACAGCACCAGUCAACCUGUGCGCCCAGCGUGUGCACGUGCAUCUUCUAGCAGCAAGCCUUUGUGCGUUGCUCUGUCACACACCACCGCAAAUCGUUAUACGAUUGCAAUAGUCAUGAUCACCAUCGAACGCUUGCGACAACCAUCACAUACCAUCAACCCUAUUGAUCAUAUAUCAGCUGCCUCUUUCAGGAUCAAUCGAGUCCUAGCAAGCUCUGUCGAUUACCAUCGUCAACAAUUGGAAGCAAUCGGGACCUGUAGAACCUUGUGCGCCACCAGUCAACGACAACAGCAGAAUUUUUUCAAUAGUUUCCUUGGAGAGGCAGCCAUCACAUACCAUUGAUCCCUAUUGAUCACAUACAGCGGCCUCUUUCGGGCACAAUCGAGUCCCAGCAAGCCCUAUCGAUUACCAUCGUCAACAAUUGGAAGCAAUCGGGACCUGUAGAACCUUGUGCGCCACCAGUCAACGGCAACAGCAGAAUUUUUUCAAUAGUUUCCUUAGAUAUUGUGGCUAACCCUUCAACAUUCAACAAAUCAUAUUUGCUGCUCCUAACCCAUCUUAAGUUUUUGUAGAAGAUGAAUUCGUACAGGGAGGCAGAGAAGUAGAAAAGACACUCAACAUCAAUCGAGUAUGAUAUUUAGUUCAAAUUCAGGCAAUCACUUGCCGAAAUGAGAGCAGCAAGGAGGAUGACUUGAAGAUGUCUAGAUGAUUUUAACAUAAAGUUGAGGUAGAAAGCCACCAUGGGAAGUUGCAAGGAGCAACCACAAAUAGCCCCCUGUAUCCAGUUGUUUACUCUUCACAUUUUGAAAUGGUCGUGGAUAGCCUCCAUCGACUACUCUUUCUUAUCUUUUUAUUUAUUGUUAAUUAUUGUUUUCUAUGUUGGGAGACAAGAUUUCAUCUUAUCUUUAUGUUUUUAUUUUAAUAUGACAUGACUUAAUUUUGUUUAUUCAAAAUGGAUAUGAAUCUUGAUUUGAAUUAAUUUGUAUUUGUUUUCUGAA